UAAUACGAAGGGGGCUAGCGUUGUUCGGAUUUACUGGGCGUAAAGGGCGCGUAGGCGGUGCAAUAAGUCAGGCGUGAAAGCCCCGGGCUCAACCCGGGAAUUGCGCUUGAUACUGUUGCGCUUGAAUCCAGGAGAGGAUGGCGGAAUUCCCAGUGUAGAGGUGAAAUUCGUAGAUAUUGGGAAGAACACCAGUGGCGAAGGCGGCCAUCUGGCCUGGAAUUGACGCUGAGGCGCGAAAGCGUGGGGAGCAAACAGGAUUAGAUACCCUGGUAGUCCACGCCGUAAACGAUGGAUGCUAGCCGUUGGCAGGCUUGCCUGUCAGUGGCGCAGCUAACGCAUUAAGCAUCCCGCCUGGGGAGUACGGUCGCAAGAUUA
rnacentral:rRNA from 1 species